GAGAGGUUUCCACACUCUUAUAAGGAAUGUUUCGUUCCUCUCUCCAACUAAUGUGGGAUCUCACAAUCCGCCCCUCUUGGGGGCCUAGCAUUCUCUCUGGCACACCGCCCGAUGUCUGACUUUAAUACCAUUUGUAAC